rnacentral:tRNA from 1 species
UCCCUGGCAGUCCAGUGGUUAAGACUCUGCAUUUCCACUGCAGGGGGCCCAGGUUCAAUCCCUAGUCAGGGAA